AUCCAUCUGAAAAGUUGCAAAGAGGACGAAACGCGCGUCAAACUGGAU
rnacentral:hammerhead_ribozyme from 1 species